UGCGGAAGGAUCAUUAGUGAAUCUAGGACGUCCAACUUAACUUGGAGUCCGAACUCUCACUUUCUAACCCUGUGCAUAUGUUAAUUGGAAUAGUAGCUCUUCGGAGUGAACCGCCAUUCACUUAUAAAAACACAAAGUCUAUGAAUGUAUACAAAUUUAUAACAAAACAAAACUUUCAACAACGGAUCUCUUGGCUCUCGCAUCGAUGAAGAACGCAGCGAAAUGCGAUACGUAAUGUGAAUUGCAGAAUUCAGUGAAUCAUCGAAUCUUUGAACGCACCUUGCGCUCCUUGGUAUUCCGAGGAGCAUGCCUGUUUGAGUGUCAUGAAAUCUUCAACCCACCUCUUUCUUAGUGAAUCUGGUGGUGCUUGGUUUCUGAGCGCUGCUCUGCUUCGGCUUAGCUCGUUCGUAAUGCAUUAGCAUCCGCAACCGAACUUCGGAUUGACUUGGCGUAAUAGACUAUUCGCUGAGGAUUCUAGUUUUACUAGAGCCGAGUUGGGUUAAAGGAAGCUCCUAAUCCUAAAGUCUAUUUUUUGAUUAGAUCUCAAAUCAGGUAGGACUACCCGCUGAACUUAAGCAUAUC
rnacentral:rRNA from 1 species